rnacentral:rRNA from 1 species
UACGUAGGGGGCGAGCGUUGUCCGGAUUUAUUGGGCGUAAAGAGCGUGUAGGCGGUUCGGUAAGUCUGUCGUGAAAUCCUGAGGCUCAACCUCGGGCGUGCGAUGGAUACUGCCGGGCUAGAGGGUGGUAGAGGCGAGUGGAAUUCCCGGUGUAGCGGUGAAAUGCGUAGAUAUCGAGAGGAACACCUGCGGCGAAGGCGGGUUGCUGGGCUGAUACUGACGCUGAGGCGCGAAAGCCAGGGGAGCGAACGGG